GACGAACCGAGCGAACGUUGUUCGGAAUAACUGGGCUUAAAGGGCGCGUAGGCGGGCGGCCAAGUUCGGGGUGAAAUCCUCCGGCUCAACCGGAGAACUGCCCCGAAUACUGGUCGCCUCGAGGGGGGUAGGGGCGUGCGGAACUGUGGGUGGAGCGGUGAAAUGCGUUGAUAUCCACAGGAACUCCGGUGGCGAAGGCGGCACGCUGGACCCUCAUCUGACGCUGAGGCGCGAAAGCCAGGGGGAGCCAAACGGG
rnacentral:rRNA from 1 species